CGGAGGGAUCAUUAAAGAGUUCUAUAACUCCCAAACCCAUGUGAACAUACCUAACGUUGCCUCGGCAGGUCGCACCUACCUUGUAGCACCCUACCCUGUAGGGCCUACCCGGGAGGUGCGGGUAAGCCUGCCGGCGGCCCACCAAACUCUGUUUGAUAUUGAAUUCUGAACCUAUAACUAAAUAAGUUAAAACUUUCAACAACGGAUCUCUUGGUUCUGGCAUCGAUGAAGAACGCAGCGAAAUGCGAUAAGUAAUGUGAAUUGCAGAAUUCAGUGAAUCAUCGAAUCUUUGAACGCAUAUUGCGCCCAUUAGUAUUCUAGUGGGCAGGACCGUUCGAGCGUCAUUUCAACCCUUAAGCCUUCGUUGCUUAGUGUUGGGAGCCUACGGCAACGUAGCUCCUCAAAGUUAGUGGCGGAGUUGGUUCACACUCUAGACGUAGUAAUUUUUUAUCUCGCCUAUUAGUUGGACUAAUCCCCUGCCGUAAAACCCCCAAUUUAUCAAGGUUGACCUCGAAUCGGUUCAGACAAACUCGCUAAAUUGAAGCAUCUUAGUCAGCGAAGGAAAAGAAACCAACAGGGAUUGCCCUAGUAACGGCGAGUGAAGCGGCAACAGCUCAAAUUUGAAAUCUGGCCCUCGGGUCCGAGU
rnacentral:rRNA from 1 species